CAAAAGUUAACGGCAACGGCCGAUUGAUAAGACAAACACAUAAUUAUUCAGGAUUUGAAGCUAAAUACAUUAUUAGACACCAAAGUUAGCAUUCAGGUCAUCUUAUGGAUGUCAAACAACUUUAUUAAAACUAGUAGAAGAUUGGAAACAAGCCCUAGAUGAAAACAAUUAUGUAGGAGCUGUUUUAAUGGACCUGUCUAAAGCGUUCGAUUGCUUACCUCACAAUCUAAUUGUACUAAAACUCAAGGCCUAUGGAUUAACCGAGCAUGCAUGUAAAUUAAUGUUAAACUAUCUAUCAAACAGGUCUCAAAGGGUUAAAAUAAACAAUUGUACUAGUAAAUGGCAAGAAAUCAUUAAGGGAGUGCCUCAAGGCUCUAUACUCGGUCCGUUGAUCUUUAAUAUCUUUAUCAAUGAUAUUUUUUAUUUUAUAGAUACGUCAACCCUGUAUAACUAUGCAGACGACAAUACCCUUUCCUUCAGUCACAAAAACUUAAAUACCUUUAAGGAAACUAUUGAAUCAGAAAGUAAAUCCCUGAUACACUGGUUCAAUAUUAACCAAAUGCAGGCAAACCCCGAUAAAUUCCAGGCAAUAUGUGUAGGUAAUAAGACUUAUAAAAAAGUUAAAUCAUUUACUAUAGGUCAAAAUGAAAUUUAAUGUGAACAAAAAGUAAAACUUUUAGGAGUGGAACUUGAUUACAAAUUAAACUUUGAUCCACAGGUUACAAAUGUAUGCAAAAAGGCAGCCAAACAAUUAAAUGUUCUCCAAAGACUAAGCAAAUUCCUGAAUGUAAGCACUAGGUUAAUAAUCUUUAAAUCUUUUAUCCGAUCAAAUUUUAAUUUUUGUCCCCUUAUAUGGCAUUUUUGUAGUAAAUCCAACACAGAAAAACUAGAAAAGAUACAGUUCAGAGCCCUUAGAAUUGUUUUUAAUGACUAUGAAUCUAGUUAUAAUACACUACUAAAAAAGGUUACCAGUUCUACUCUUCACUUAAACAGGUUACACCUCAUUGCGUCAGAAACAUUUAAAUGUAUACACAAUCUUUCCCCAGAAUAUCUUCAAUCCUUGGUUAAAGUUAAAUCCUCUACCUAUAAUUUCAGAUAUUCAAACAUCCUUGAGACACCACAAGUAAGAACAACAAGGUAUGGCAAAAAUUCCUUUCGUUUUGAGGCUGUACAGGUGUGGAACAGCCUCCCAGAGGAUAUUCGCACAGUCGACAAAUAUAAAGACUUUGUACGGCUGAUCCGCACCUGGACAGGCUCAAAAUGUAAAUGCGCCAUGUGUGAGUAACCUGCUUCUCAUAUUUUUUGCUUGCUUGCUUGUUGUUUUGUUUUUUGUUGCUGUCCUGCUUAUAUUAUUUAUUUAUCUGUCAGUUAACCCCUUGUUAAAUUAUCCUUGUAUAUAGUGUAUAUGAGUUUCCUGUUUAAAAAAAAUAAAAAUAAAAUAGAAAUAAACAUGUAUAUAUGUGUAUAUAUGUGCUAUGUAGAUGUUUUUUCAUGUGAUUAAAUAUGCUUUUUUAUACUCCCUUCUUGUGUGUUUUAAAAUGUUAAAAACAGUGUAUAUAUGUGUGUAUAUUUGCUAUUUAUUUGUUGUACUAUGUAGUUAUUGUGCAUGUGCUUAUAUAUGCUUUUAAACAUGAAUUGUGUGCUAUACUUGUUUGAAUAUCUUAAAUUUUAAUAUAGGUCUGCAAUGCUUUGUUUGUACAAAUUAUAAGUGUAUAACAUAUGUGUUAAUUAUGAACUGAUGUAAAACAGCUCCAAUAUAGUUCUUAGGUAUAUUUCCCUUUGUCAUAUCUAUGUGUAACUUACAAAAUAUAAUGCUUUAAUGAACAUUUUUUACUAAAUUUUGUGUUGUAUAUGCUCUAAGUAUGUCCUUGUAGUAUAAAUGCUUAUAUAAUAUGCUUAAUCUUUCUUUCUUUCAGCUCAAUAUACACUUGUUAUAUAUUUACAAUUGUUUUGUCGGGAAAUAGCUCAUGAGCUAAUGUUUAUUGUUAUUCACAUCCGACGUUAAAUAAAGAUUCUUGUAUCUUGUAUCUUGUAUCUUGUACAUACGAUAGUUUAGUUUUUAUGUACUACAGGAUAUUAGAUCUACAUAAUUUGAAAGAGUAAACAUUUUGUCUAUGUUUAUGUUUAUCUAUGUUAAUGUACUAGCAAUUGUAAUUUGAUAACGAUUUGAAACUGGUAUUUAUUGUUUUCAUAUCUCUAUGUCAAAUAAUGAUGAGAAAUUGGGUGAAAUAUUUGGGUUUUCUUUAUAUACGAAAUAUUGACAAGUAUAUCAGUGGCGAGUAUGCAUGACGGUCAAAAGAUUAAAUAUUUGGAUCUGGUGUAUGUUUAAAAACAAAGGGGGAACGAUGCCGUCGACACAAGCCUUAGGCUGUAUUUGCAUUAUUUAUUUGUAUCACAAUGCUGAUUAGCGUGCACAUACCCAGUCCUAUGUUGUAAUUCAACCAAUCAGGAACAAGCACGUAUGGAACACUGACCAAUAGGAUUCAUAACUGAGUUUCACGGGCCAGAUGUUAGAGGGAAACAAGGCGGUUAGCGUUUAGACCUGGAGGUGGACAGAUGGAAAAGACACAAUCAUGUAGCAAUCACAACGCAUUUGUAUAACUGAAAUAUUAGUUAUGUUAGACAUUAAAUUGGACUAGAAACUGA